rnacentral:rRNA from 1 species
GAUGAACGCUGGCGGCGUGCCUAACACAUGCAAGUCGAGCGAUCUUCUUCGGAAGAGAGCGGCGGACGGGUGAGUAACGCGUGGGUAACCUGCCCUGUACACACGGAUAACAUACCGAAAGGUAUGCUAAUACGGGAUAAUGUAUUUUGAUCGCAUGGUCGAAAUAUCAAAGCUUUUGCGGUACAGGAUGGACCCGCGUCUGAUUAGCUAGUUGGUGAGGUAAUGGCUCACCAAGGCGACGAUCAGUAGCCGACCUGAGAGGGUGAUCGGCCACAUUGGAACUGAGACACGGUCCAAACUCCUACGGGAGGCAGCAGUGGGGAAUAUUGCACAAUGGGCGAAAGCCUGAUGCAGCAACGCCGCGUGAGCGAUGAAGGCCUUCGGGUCGUAAAGCUCUGUCCUCAAGGAAGAUAAUGACGGUACUUGAGGAGGAAGCCCCGGCUAACUACGUGCCAGCAGCCGCGGUAAUACGUAGGGGGCUAGCGUUAUCCGGAAUUACUGGGCGUAAAGGGUGCGUAGGUGGUUUCUUAAGUCAGAGGUGAAAGGCUACGGCUCAACCGUAGUAAGCCUUUGAAACUGAGAAACUUGAGUGCAGGAGAGGAGAGUAGAAUUCCUAGUGUAGCGGUGAAAUGCGUAGAUAUUAGGAGGAAUACCAGUUGCGAAGGCGGCUCUCUGGACUGUAACUGACACUGAGGCACGAAAGCGUGGGGAGCAAACAGGAUUAGAUACCCUGGUAGUCCACGCCGUAAACGAUGAGUACUAGCUGUCGGAGGUUACCCCCUUCGGUGGCGCAGCUAACGCAUUAAGUACUCCGCCUGGGAAGUACGCUCGCAAGAGUGAAACUCAAAGGAAUUGACGGGGACCCGCACAAGUAGCGGAGCAUGUGGUUUAAUUCGAAGCAACGCGAAGAACCUUACCUAAGCUUGACAUCCUUUUGACCUCUCCCUAAUCGGAGAUUUCCCUUCGGGGACAGAAGUGACAGGUGGUGCAUGGUUGUCGUCAGCUCGUGUCGUGAGAUGUUGGGUUAAGUCCCGCAACGAGCGCAACCCUUGCCUUUAGUUGCCAGCAUUAAGUUGGGCACUCUAGAGGGACUGCCAGGGAUAACCUGGAGGAAGGUGGGGAUGACGUCAAAUCAUCAUGCCCCUUAUGCUUAGGGCUACACACGUGCUACAAUGGGUGGUACAGAGGGUUGCCAAACCGUGAGGUGGAGCUAAUCCCUUAAAGCCAUUCUCAGUUCGGAUUGUAGGCUGAAACUCGCCUACAUGAAGCUGGAGUUACUAGUAAUCGCAGAUCAGAAUGCUGCGGUGAAUGCGUUCCCGGGUCUUGUACACACCGCCCGUCACACCACGGGAGUUGGGGGCGCCCGAAGCCAGAUAGCUAACCUUUUGGAAGCGUCUGUCGAAGGUGAAAUCAAUAACUGGGGUGAAGUCGUAACAAGGUAGCCGUAUCGGAAGGUGCGGCUGGAUCACCUCCUUUCUAAGGAGAAUUACCUACUGUUUAAUUUUGAGGGUUUAUGUUGUGUAAACACGCUUCGAGGCUGCUAUAUGGUAUGUUGAUGUUAUGCAAGCCCAAAGGUGGCUUACAAAUAACAUAUAACAUUGCUAUAUUCGCAGCCUUUUCGCUUAGUUUGUCAAAAAUAAAGUGGAGUUAGAGCGAAAAAGCAAAACCUUAAAUUAGUACUUUGAAAACUGCAUAGCAUUUAGUGAUAUGACAUCAUUUUAUAUACAGACAAGAUAAGUCUUUAAAAUAUCAAACCUAGUAAUUAAGUUUUUAACUUAUUACAACUUUAAUAACUUGGUCAAGUUAUUAAGGGUGCAGGGCGGAUGCCUUGGCACUAGGAGCCGAUGAAGGACGUGAUAAGCUGCGAUAAGCUUCGGGGAGUUGCACGUAAACUUUGAUCCGAAGAUUUCCGAAUGAGGAAACUCACUUAGAGUAAUGUCUAAGUAUCGUUAAGUGAAUACAUAGCUUAGCGAGGGGAACCCGGGGAACUGAAACAUCUAAGUACCCGGAGGAAAAGAAAGAAAUUCGAUUCCGUAAGUAGCGGCGAGCGAACGCGGAAUAGGCCAAACCAAUGAAGUUUUCUUUGUUGGGGUUGCGGACAUGCAACAUGGAUGCACUAUCGUAAAUGAAGAGAGUUGGAAAGCUCCGCCAAAGAAGGUAAUAGCCCUGUAAUUGAAACGAGAAAGCUACUAGCAUGAUCCAGAGUACCACGGGACACGUGAAACCCUGUGGGAAGCAGGAGGGACCAUCCUCCAAGCCUAAAUACUACCUAGUGACCGAUAGCGCAU